UUGUUGCAGUUAAAAAGCUCGUAGUUGGACUUUAGGCAAGGCGGCCUGGUCACCCUCUGGGUGUACUGGGAUCGCUGCGCCUCACCUUCGGGGAGCUAGUCGUGCUUCGGUGCGCUAGGGAACCGAGCCUUACCUUGAGGAAAUUAGAGUGUUUAAAGCAGGCUUAUGCUUGAAUACGUUAGCAUGGAAUAACAUGAUAGGACUUUGGUUCUAUUUUGUUGGUUUGAGGACCAAAGUAAUGAUUAAUAGGGACAGUUGGGGGCAUUAGUAUUCAAUAGUCAGAGGUGAAAUUCUUGGAUUUAUUGAAGACUAACUAAUGCGAAAGCAUUUGCCAAGGAUGUUUUCAUUAAUCAAGAACGAAAGUUAGGGGAUCGAAGACGAUUAGAUACCGUCGUUGUCUUAACCAUAAACUAUGCCGACUAGGGAUCGGUGGAAGUCGAUUUUGACUCCAUCGGCACCUUACGAGAAAUCAAAGUUUUUGGGUUCUGGGGGGAGUAUGGUCGCAAGGCUGAAACUUAAAGGAAUUGACGGAAGGGCACCACCAGGAGUGGAGCCUGCGGCUUAAUUUGACUCAACACGGGAAAACUCACCAGGUCCGGACAUGGGAAGGAUUGACAGAUUGAGAGCUCU
rnacentral:rRNA from 1 species